rnacentral:lncRNA from 1 species
GCAGGUUGAGAAUGCUCCAAACACACCCAUAGAGGUGCAGGUUGAGAAUGCUCCAAACACACCCAUAGAGGUGCCAGCAGCUACUCCCUUCGUAAAGAAAUAUAAGAGCAUUUUAUAGCGAUCUAAACGCUCUUAUAUUUGUUUACCGGGGGAGUGCUACAUCUUCUCCUUGCUUCUGUGCUUUGAUUAGCUCUGAUUUAGCUUUGCCCUAACAGCCAUGACACCAACUGCCCAACCAACCAGCAGACUACCUACUAGCAGUUGCACUCACACUCACAUGCUUCUUCUUUCUCUUUCUGCCAACACACAACACAAGCACAUGCCAUUAGUAUUUUAGUACCCACCGGCAAGCAUAGCAGAGGCAGUGAACAACCGGUGGAGGCCUCACCUCUUCUUCUCCUCCUCCUCUGUUGCUUUUGCUUUGCUUUGCUUUCAGGUUUAGUUCUUCUUUUCUUCUCUCCCGCAUUUCUGGCAUCCUUGACCUUCUUCACCAAACUUUUCUUGCUGCCGACCUGCUUCUGCUCCAGCUGGAUCAAUGAUUGCCUCCUUCUGAUUGAUGUUCAUCCAAAAAUACUUGCACAUUUCAUCUCAUUGCAUUGCAUUGCAUGAGUAACAAAACGAAAAACUCGGUGACAGGCAGCAACGCCACUACAUGGAUGGAUGUAUGGCAGUGCAAUACAAUGGACCGUAAAAUCCAUUUCACAAAAAUAAUAGUGCUGGUAGUAAGAGACAACAUCAAAUGGAUCGAGAGCAAAGGAUCGUCAUGGGCUCUCAUAGCGGCCAACUGAUAGCUGGUGAAGGUGGUCUCAACUCUUCUUGCCUUUUGCCUAACUAAUUAUCCACACUCUCAGCUCUAGUUUCAGUAUGUUUCUUCUCGAACAUGAUUCUCGACCCUCUCUCCCACCCCAAAUUCCCUUUCUCUUGACUUGGUUCUGUCCCAAAUGGAAUUGCCCUACAUUUUCUGUCAAUCUCUAAAUUUCCAAACAUCCCGUGUCAUUCAAUCCAUAACAGAAGAACAAGUAUGGGGCUAUAAUGGAAUCUGUAAUCCUCCCUUUCUUUAAGGUAAGAAGAAUACUGGUAACAGCAAAUCAAAUGGAGUAACAGUUAGUUGUACAGAUUAUCAUUAUCAGAGGGGCAAAGUGCUAGCUCAGAUCUGUCGUAAAACCAAAUGCAAUGCUAUAGAGUGCUCAUCACAAUCAGAGUGACAUAAUGCAGGAAGGAUGAGAUGAUGCCGAAUUGAUUCUCUUGUCAGUCAAGUACUAGCUUGAUCUAUGGGGUAACAAUGCUGCGGUAGUAGCAGCAGCAGUAAAUCUGUGUAUACACAAGGAACGGGAAAUCCUAAAUGCUAGCCAUAAUUAAGAUAAGAGACAAGGAAUUUGGAUCCAUUCUGCUGCAUUCUACUCCAAAUCUCCCCAGAAAAGAAUGGAAUUUGAUCAGGAAAUACCAGCACUCUGUCUGUCUGUCUAGCGAUGUGUUUGUAGUAUAUGGGCGGCGGAGAUCUUGCUGCCCGGGAGGGAGUUCUAGGACUUGGCGGCGGCCGCCGUGGCGGAGCGGCGGGUCGGCCCUGUCUCCACGUCGCCGUCCUCCUUCUUCUCCACCACCACCCCCGUCCGCUCCUUGUCCUUGUCCUCCUCCCCUCCGGCGCUGUCGGGGGAGGCGGCGGGCUCGAGGUCGUCGCGNNNN